CCUACGGGAGACAGCAGUGGGGGAUAUUGCACAAUGGGGGAAACCCUGAUGCAGCGACGCCGCGUGUGGGAAGACGGUCCUCUGGAUUGUAAACCACUGUCCCCAGGGACGACGAUUACGGUACCUGGGGAGGAAGCUCCGGCUAACUACGUGCCAGCAGCCGCGGUCAUACGUAGGCAGCGAGCGUUGUCCGGAAUUACUGGGGGAAAAGGGAGCGUAGGCGGGACUGCAAGUUGGGUGUCAAAUCUACCGGCUCAACCGGUAGCCGCACUCAAAACUGCAGUUCUUGAGUGAAGUAGAGGCAGGCGGAAUUCCUAGUGUAGCGGUGAAAUGCGUAGAUAUUAGGAGGAACACCAGUGGCGAAGGCGGCCUGCUGGGCUUUUACUGACGCUGAGGCUCGAAAGUGUGGGGAGCAAACAGGAUUAGAUACCCGGGGAGUC
rnacentral:rRNA from 1 species